rfam:Jejuia pallidilutea DNA, contig: NODE_1_1/1, strain: JCM 19538.
AUCGUAGAGGAAAGAUUUGACUGAUUGCAACCUCUCUCAGCAUCGAAAAAAAAUCGAUAUUGAGAUCCUAAACUAAGUUUAGGAUUUAAAAAUGCUAAAGGCAGUGUA